UGCUCUUGACUGCUGAACUCUUUCUCCGGCCCCUGUAGCUGCUUCUCAGAUUGCAUAAAGAUCAUUGUCACCAAGCAGAGCUGAAUAGAGAGCAACACAAGGCGCAAGCUUUAAGCUGUUCCAGGCUUUGAACCGUGUCUACUCUCCACCUCUCAUCAGUGUUGCCGUUAUCCUGAGCAUGGGUCUUGCCCUUCUACCUCAAGAGCAUCGCCUGCCACCAGCUCGAAGACACGGGACAAUCUGGAGCUUCAAACCCAUGUGACAGUCUACUCUGGUCUGGACCUCUGUCCAUUCUCUCUGCUCUAACACAGAGUUCUAGAAAAUAUGCAAUUCUGUAGAGACAUGGUUACCAGAAAAUGGAGCAGCCUGGCUCAUUUAAAAGUCUUGCAGUGAUAAAAUGCUCGGACGGAAGCAACAUGGAGGAGACAGGGUUUGUUCUAGCACACAGCUCUGGUGUGGAACUGUGUGGAGAAGCCACAGACUGCACCGAAGGCUUGCUCACAUGAUUGAGGUCAGAUUGCGUUCUCCACUCUUACACUACCCAGAAUCCCCUUCCCAAGGACUAGUGCCACUGCAAUGGGCAAGUUCCCCACCUCAAUAAAGAUAACCCUACAUCAUAUUUUACAGCAGGACUUUGGGUCCCUAACCUGCAACUCAGCACUCAGUCCAUCAUGGGCUUUGCUAGUCUCUGUGACUUCUCCAGGGCAGGAAAGUGACAGGUUUCUGCGCAAGGGAGCCCGAGGUACCUGGUUCAGGAUGGAGAGGGCACUUGAGAGGCGUCAAAAGCAAGCACAGUUAGAGGACAUCAGCGAUGUUAAAACCCCACGAGGGUCAACAGUAGCCCAGGCAAAAUAAAGGAGCCUGAAGUGGAAAAACAGAAAUGGAACAAGACGUUUGUUCUGGAGCACGUGAGAUUGUCCUUCUAAGACAUUUCCAGAAGUAUUCAAAGGAAGAUUUAAUGGGAAAUCAUUAUGCAAAAGAGUCAGUAAUAUAUUUUAGUUUCAAAAAGUACGGAGCGUGACGCCUGUCAAUUAUACCUUCUGCAAAGGUGAGUGGCGGUUGUCCUUGCUGUUCCAAAAUGCAAAGAGAAACAAACAAACAAACAAACAAGCAAACCAGCUACUCCUAUUCCGCACUCCAAACACCAAGCAGAAAUGCUUCUGGGACAAACUGAGCUUCAUUCUUUAUGAAAAUGAAAACACUUCUUUCUGUGCACUAGGAAAAUGUUCUGCCUCUGAGCUGCAAAACCAGCACCAAACUUGAAAAGUUUGUGCAUCAAAGGAAAAAGGCAACCUACAGGAUGGGGGAGAAUAUUUGCAGGACACAUGUCCUGGAAGGAAUACAUAUUUAGACUGAAUAAAAUGAGUAAGAGGAGGGAUAGGGAGUUCGUGUUCAAUGUUGAGAGCUUGGGACAGUUGAGAAAACGCUCCGGAGUGUUCUGCAGAUGAAUGAUGGUGACGACUGCAUCAGUGUGAAUGUCCUUAACGCCGUCAAAAAUUGGUUAUAAUGGCAAAUUUUAUGCUACAUAUGUUUUACUACAAUAAAAAUGCCAGGAAAAUCUAACUGCUCCAAAUCCUGAAUUUAUUAACCCAAUAAAUUAGGAGAUGGUUAUUGACCUAUAAAUGGAUUUGUCAAUUUUUAAAAUGAUUUCCUUUAAAUUGAAUUCUUUCCUAGAGCUUUAUUGUCUCUUCACAAACCAUUAAACACUUGUUAAAGUGUUCAGAGAGGGCUGAGAUGGAGGAGGAAGUGAAAACCAAACAAACAGAUGAGGGACCUUCCCCAAAUGAUGUCUGCUAACAGGCUUCUUGGGUAUUCUAUUUAUAUAGAUUUUACAAGUGUUUUAUUUGAGAGGAAAAAUCCCUAGACCUUACAUAGUACAAUGAACUUCUUAUGCCUGUCAGCUAGAUUUAUUAAUUUUUAACGAGGUGUAUUACUUUUAAAAGCUAUCUAUUUACUAUUGGGGGAGGGAGAAGGACAAAGGACAUCUUGCAGAAGUCUGGUCUCUCCUGCUAUGUGGGUUCUGGAGAUAGGAAAUCAGGCAGGUUGUCAGGCCUAGAAGCAAAGGCCUGUCUGCACUGAGCCAUCUUACUUGUCUUAUUUUGUUACUUUUGAUGACCUAUUUUAGACAUCACUAUUCUAUAGCCCUAAGUAUAACUUCAAGUAUGUAUCUUCCACAAUGACUUUAUGACCAUGAAAUCAAUUCAAGAAAUUUAACAUGUAUGCAGUUCUAUCCAGCGUACAUACAGAUUUCUCAUCCCCCCUUUUACUGUAGUUUAUAGAAAAAGCAAUUCUCUUCCAUAUCUAGAGUUUGACAAGGAAUAUGCAUUGCAUUUGGUUUCUGUGUUCUUUAAUCUCUUGUUGUACAGAACUUCAACCUUUCAUGACAGGUUGAACAAUUUUGGAUCAUACAGGCUGUCAUGGUUUGAAUAUGUUUGGCCCAGGGAGUGGUACUGUUAGGGGUGUGGUCUUCUUGGAAUAGGUGUGUCACCGUGGGCGUGGGCUUUAAGACCCUCAUCCUUAGCUUCUGGAAGUCAGUCUUCCACUAGCAACCUUCAGAUGAAGAUGUAGAACUCUCACCAUCUCCUGCACUAUACCUGCCUGGAUAUCGCCAUGUUCCUGCCUUGAUGAUUAUGGACUGAACCUCUGAACCUGUAAGCCAGCCCCAAUUAAAUUUGUCCUUAUAAGAGUUACCUUGGUCAUGGUGUCUGUUCACAGCAGUAAAACCCUAACUAAGACACAGGCCAAUUACAGAAUGUCUCUUUUUGGUGUGUGCAGUGUUAAAGUUUGAAGCACAAGCCUAAUGCUUGUUAGACAAGCACUCUACCGCUGCUCUACAUCAGCAGCUCAGUGUGCCUCUUGUCUUGAUGGGCUCAUUGUUUUUUAUGACCCAGUGCAUUGGGGUGAGCAGCUCACACAGGUACGAAGGGGUCCCUCUCAGAGCUUAACAUCAGGGAACUCAAUGUUGGUUUGUCUGUUCUAUUUCAGCUGAGCUAGUAUCUGGCAGUUCCCCACAACCCCCAUCAAGUUACCACUUUUUUCUUUGUAAUUGUAAUUUGCAAAGAAAUAUUUGCAAGAUUAAGUAAUAGACUACACAACGUGUUUUAGCUUCCACUGAGCAUUCAGCCUGAACUGUUUUAUAAAGUUAUGAAAUGAUAGAUUUCCAACUUAAUAAUUAUUUUAAAGACUUAUUUUAUUUUUAGUUCUGCAUGUAUGCCUGUGUGUGCACGUGUGUACCUAUGUAUCUGUAUGGUUAUGUGCACAUGAAUGCAGAUGUCCAAGGAGAAGAGGCCAGACACAUUGGAUCCCUGGUGCUCAAGUGGGAGGUGGCUGUCAGCUGCUGUAGGAAGGUGAUGGGAACUCAGCUUGAGUCCUUUGCAAGAACAGCAUGAGCUCUUAAACACAGAGCCACAUCUUCAGUCCCUCUCUUAUUUUUUUAAAAAUUAUUCUCUCUCUGUGUAUGUGUGUGUAUACAGAGGUCAGAGGAUCAUUUUUGUAAAAUUAGUUCUCUCUACCUUUUUUUGUGGGCUCUGGGGACUAAACUCAAGUUGUUGGGAUUUUGUGACAAGUGCUGUAUCCACUGAGCCCUCUCACAUGCCCUUAAAUGUUAUUUUAAAUAAUAGCAAAUGAGUACGUUCAAGCAUACGAGAAUAAGCAUGUCCUAUUGAUUUGAAUAUGCAAAAGUAUGCCAAUUUUUUAAAUCUCUAUUACCAAGUGGACAAGUAUUCCAUUUUAUCUCCAAAAGUAAAGAUUUCUUUUAGAUACAGUCAUGUGGAUUAUACAACUUGACUGAAGCCAUGUCUCCAAGAUACAUACCUAGAGGGUAAAGGGAAUGCUUUAAAGGAGCGUGAUUAUGAAUAUCCAAGCUGAAAAUAAACACUAAUUACUAACAAAAAGGAUUACUGAGAAAAAUAUGGGUUGGUUUUCAGUACUUGACUCUGUAAAGUUAUUUCUUUUCUUAUUUAGUUUUUAUUCAUAAUCAUAAACUUAACUUUGCCAUCCAGCUAGACUUGAAGGGGAAUGAGGAAAAUAUGGAACCCAAAGAACUUGAGCAGAGAUUACAGGGUAUUUCAAGCAGAUGGGGUAGGGAUGCUCUCCUGCGCUACAGAAGGAAUGGUUGGAUGGGUAAAAUGCCUGCAAGUCAAAAGAAAUUAGAGUUAUCCACAGUCGGAAAUGGUCUUGCUGGUCUUUCCAUUCCUGGACCCAAAACACUCCAUGGCUUCCACAAUGUUCAUGCCUUCUUUCACCUUCCCAGACACCACAUGCUUGCCAUCCAGCCACUUAGUCUUGGCAGUGCAGAUAAAAAACUGGGAACCGUUUGUGUUGGUCCAGUAUUUGCCAUGGACAAGAUGCCAGGACCUGUAUGCUUCAGGAUGAAGAUCUCAUCCUCAAAUUUCUCUCCAUAGAUGGAUCUGCCGCCAGUGCCAUUAUGGCAUGUAAAGUCACCACCCUGGCACAUGAAUCCUGGAAUAAUUCUGUGAAAGGAGGAACCCUUCUAGUAAAAUCCUUUCUCUCCAGUGCUCAGAGCAUGAAAGUUUCCCGCUGUCUUUGGAACUUUGUCUGCAAACAGCUGGAAGGAGACUCUUCAAGGGCUCGUCAUCGGCCGUGAUGUCAGAGAACACGGUGGGGUCGACUGUGGCUACAGCAAGAGGACCAACGGUACUGUUGCUCUAGCUACAGGAAUAAUCCUGGGCAGCACUUGUUGACCUUGGUCACUGUCAAGGGAAGAUCGGCUGUUCCCACUGAGGGCAUCUUGAUGGAUUAAGGUGAUCAGCUGAUCAAUGUGAGGGGACAGAUGGGAGCUAGGAACUGUCUCGGUACUGAGUCAUUUUUCAUCUAAUGUGCAAGAAACCCAAAGAGCACAUCAAACAGCGAACUACGCCUAAGCUAUCCAUGUUUCUCCUGCUUCUUCUGAGAGGGUGAUUUACACGUAGCUCAACACUCGAGUGUUGCAGUAUCGAGUGACUGCAACCAAACAAUGGAACAUGCAUCGUGCCUGUUGACAGAGCCUGCAGUUGGCUUGGAACCGGGACCAUGCUGCAUUCGACAUCGUUCCUGGUGGCUGACUUGUUCCCAUAGAAUUAAAUGCUAGGCAUCCAGAAGCUGACUGUGCAUCUGAUGGGCUCACUAACAUUCAGGAACAGGUUGGCCUCAGACUUCAUCAAUGGAAAGUGUAGGCAUAGGACAAAAAAAAGAGCACGUUUGAAAGACUACAUUUUCAUGAAAUUGGAAAUGCUACAUGCAAGCUGCAGAUGCUGAUUGCAGAGUCAGAAGACAUGGCCGUCAGUGUUAGGACUCUGCCUUAUUCUGCUAUUUCUCCUUGACGACCUACAGUUUGCAUUGUGGGUGGCAUUCAUUAACGAGGGCAGUAAAAACAUGGAGAAAACAUUGCAAGCUCUCCUUCGUGUUUCGCUCACUGGCCAAGUAGCUAACCAACUAGGUGUUCAGGCUCCCAUGUGUCUCAAUAUGAUGUGGCUCCUUCCAGUAGCAACCAUCCUGAGCAGAGACCUUUGUUCUAAUUUAAAAAUUAGACAUGAUAUAGAGCUUACCACACAUUUUUCCCCCUGAAGAUUAAAGAUCUUCAUGAAGGUACUGGCUUAAAAGACAUCAACCCCAAGCCUUUCGAAGGAUAUGCACUUGAGAUUGCCAUACUCGAUGGUGCGUCCAAUUAACUUAGAAAUACCCUUGACAUUUCUCAUCCGUGAAGAGAAGCUUUAGGUGACAGUUUUCAUGGUGUGGGUACUCUCGGUGCCUAAUUUGCUUUUUUUUCUUGUUUUCAAGCCUGAAAGGGAAAUAGCCUUGGCUUUCAGCUCUGGAGCGCGAUGCCCUCCUUACGAGUAUUCAGCUACUGUCUGAACCAUUGUACUUGCCUUCCCCUCCAUACCCCUUUUUCCCCAAAGUCCCGUUGAUAGCUCAUU
rnacentral:lncRNA from 1 species